rnacentral:rRNA from 1 species
AUUAAACGCUGGCGGCAUGCUUUACACAUGCAAGUCGAACGGCAGCACGGGGGCAACCCUGGUGGCGAGUGGCGAACGGGUGAGUAAAGCAUCGGAACGUGCCCUGGAGUGGGGGAUAACGUAGCGAAAGUUACGCUAAUACCGCAUAUUCUGUGAGCAGGAAAGCAGGGGAUCGCAAGACCUUGCGCUCUGGGAGCGGCCGAUGUCGGAUUAGCUAGUUGGUGGGGUAAAGGCCUACCAAGGCGACGAUCCGUAGCGGGUCUGAGAGGAUGAUCCGCCACACUGGGACUGAGACACGGCCCAGACUCCUACGGAGGCAGCAGUGGGGAAUUUUGGACAAUGGGCGAAAGCCUGAUCCAGCCAUGCCGCGUGAGUGAAGAAGGCCUUACGGGUU